GGUGGGGAAAAGGUUUGUGUGGGGAGGAUGGAUGGAUGGUUCCACAAGCACAGGUGGAACCUCCUACUGUUCUGGGAGGGACCUAAAGGAGAGGUCGGGAUGGGAGACUUUGGGGCACAAAGCUGGGAUAGUCUGCCCUCUACUGGCCCCCCACCCUCCUAGCCCCUGCUCCGCUAGCUGUCCUGCUCCGGGCCACAGUUGUGGGGCAAUCCCACAGCGGGGAAGGGGCCUAGACGCACCUCUUGGGAGUGAGAGCCGGGUAGAGACAGAGGGCUAGUAUAAGGGCUUGGUCCUGCGCCAAGGGAGAUUGUUGCUCCUUAUUGGAGGAGUGAAGAGGAGUCUGUAGUCCUGCCUCCUGGGGGCACCCACCAGUCCCAUGGCAACCACACUGUUUGGUCCUUUAGGGAUGUUCACAGAUAUUCCUCAUCUUCUGAGCACAUGUUGCAGAUGGCAGUGAUGUCAAGACAGAACCUCCAUUAACCUGGAUCCCCUGCUGCCCAAAUAGGACAUUAGGGUACGAGUGGGUCAAUCUUUGUGGUGUUAAGCUAUUACGUUUGUGGGAAGUUUGUUAGUGCAGAAUAACCUAGCCUAUCCCAAGUAGAAUGCAUAGUAAUAUCACCAGUGAUGUGGGGCUGUCACCUUAAAUAGGCCACACCUAGUACUGGGAGACUAUGUUACUGUAAAGUCAGGACUGUGGCUUGUCAAAGAUCUAACACUUACCUCUGGGACCUUCUUCAGCAGGAGGGACCAUCACCUUGCCAAAGAUAGGAAGGGAUUCCCUGAGGAUGUGAACUCUACCUCCCCUGUUGUGCCAGUCCCCAUUAAGAAGAGAGCUCUGUGGCUCGGCACCUAUGGCUCAAGCAGCUAAGGCACCAGCCACAUACACCUGAGCUGGCGGGUUCGAAUCCAGCCCGGACCUGCCAAACAACAAUGAUGGCUGCAACCAAAAAAUAGCCAGGCGUUGUGGCAGGCGCCUGUAGUCCCAGCUACUUGGGAGGUGGAGGCAGGAGAAUCGCUUGAGCUCAGGAGUUGGAGAUUGCUGUGAGCUGUGAUGCCAAGGCAUUCUACCCAGGGCGACAGCUUGAGGCUCUGUCUCAAAAAAAAAAAAAAAAAAAACCAACAAAGAAGAGAACUCUGUUUCUGCAAUUUGCCAUUGUAUCUCAGACCCUAGACUGAGGCCUGGAUCACAGAAUACUUAAUUCACACACAGUGUAGGACUUACUCUAGGUCCUUUCUAUAAAUUUUUCCAUCAUCACAUCUAAGAACAGGCUGUGAUCCUCCCUCUCCUCCCUCGGCCCCUCCACACAUCUCUCUGCCUUGAGCUACCUGUUAACUCUCUUUGGCCCCAGUCCCAGGCUGGACAGCCUUCUAUUCUGCCUGAUUUCAACAAUGACACUGCAUAGGAACUUCCCUACUAUCGAAGUAAUACUCGUGAAUAAUAACAUUCAUAAACUCUCACUUUGAAGCAUUUGAAAAUUAGAGGUACCUGUGGCUCAAAGGAGUAGGGCAUGGGGCCCCAUAUACCAGAGGUGGUGAGUCAAACCCGGCCCUGUCCAAAAACUGCAAAAAAAAAAAAAAAAAAAUUAGAGGCAAGCAGAAAAAAAAUCAUCCAUAAUCUCCUCACCUACAUGAGAAAGAACUAUUACUGACACUUUUACCUUUCCUUGCAAUCUUUUUUCUCUUUGUAUUCUCCUUCCUGUAAUUUUAGGGAGAUCCUACUAAGGUCUACUCGUUUGGAGGAGAGGGAAACGCCAUCCACAAAUACAGAAAUUGUCAGAGCUCGAAGGGGACUUAGGAAUCCUCCAACACCCCCCUGCCAUUACCAAUGAGAAUCCUGCUUUAUACUAUUCUGGGUGCAAAUGGGUGAAAAGUGAAGACAGAUGUCUGGCAGGACCCACACCAACCCAGGUUAUUGUUGUUCCUGUGCUAGGAGGAACCAGAAGAGUGGUAAAAAGAUAUUAUCAUGUUUUGAAUUUUUUGUAAUAGAAGUUCAGUCAAGUACUAUUUGCAUUUAAAGCACAUUAUUAUUAAAAGAAAAGAGAAGCUAUGGAACAGAAAGCAAUUGCUAUGUCAAGGGUUGCACAGCUAUUAAUAUUACUGGCAAGUUGGUUAAGGACACUAGUUCCUUAAGCAUUAGCCAGUCUCCUGGUAUCCUUGCCUGUCCACCCCAGUGUCCCCAAGGAUGAGAGUCAUUCCAGGGCAGCCCCUUUGCUCCUACAAUAUGGGCACCCAAAUGCCGAGAUGGCAUGGGAAAAGGGAAAAUUCUGCAGGCCCCAACCUGACCUCCCAGCCCACAAGUCCAAUCACUGUCAAACCUAAGCUGGGAUCAAAUGCCUUCAAGUUCAGACUCAGCUCCAUCAGAGAGGGGCAGUGGGUGCUCUCAAGACGAAAGGGAUCCCUGGUGAAUCAGGAAAAGUUAUUGGGCUGGAAAAUGAUUAAAGGGCUGAGCGUGGGAGGGGAUUUCCACCAAGAUAGCCAGGCCCAGGAGCAAGCCUGGGCUGGUUGGCUGUAGGGUUGCUGCCCACUUGAGGUCUGUUGCAAUGGUGCCCAUAAAACCUAAGUCAUUAGAGACUUAAAACCAUGACUGUUUUUUUUUUUUUUUCAUGUUUCCCUUUUAAAAAAACAGAUCCCAGGAAACCCCAAAGCCCUAGAACAAAGGGCUGUACAUCAAAGGGGUUCCAGCAGGUCAGGAGAAGUCUCAGGGAGAGGUCAGCAGAAGGGUUGGUCUCCCUAUCCCCAGGCUUCCAGGGAGAGAAGAGGAGGGAGGGACCUACGGGUUGGAAGGUGAAUGCGAAGUCCAAAAGUAGGGGUCUGGGGUAGGGAGUAGGGCUGUAGAUAGACCCAUUUUCCUGCCCCAUCUAGGUGAGGAGAAGAUACCUGGCCUGACAAAUCCAGGAAUGUGGGACAGGUUGAGGAGGGAGUAGUAAUGCCCUUCUUUACUUGCCUAUGUGGGGAGUUCCCUAACCCCCAUAAACUAGUCAUGCUUUCUUGCAAAUCUGUACUGAAUUUGCAAGAUAGAGGUAAACAGCCUCCUUUUUACAGAUAAGGAAACUAAGGUCAGAUAGAGGAAUUGAUUGUCCAAGGUAACAAACACUGAGUGUUACAGCUGGGGCAGGAGUGACCUGGCUCCUAGCUAAGUGCUUCUUCCCCAACACCAGUGGUUCUCACACAUCAGAAUCACCAGAGGGCUUGUUAACGCUGGGCUCCAAACCCAGAGUUUCCGACUCAGUAGGUCUGGGGUG